CAGUUAAUUCUCGUCUUUCUUUUCGGCAGAAUUCCCUUUUUGCCACUGGACCACAGGGAACCAAUGUUGUACACUUUGAUGACAGAUUCACUUGACCCGGAGCUUCACAAAGACCUGGUGACCAGACUGGAUCCAGAGAAGAGACUCAUCAGAUUGACUGCAGUAGAUCUGCAGCUCACCUUUACAGCAGAUUCUUCUCCAUCAUCAUCUCCAUCAUCUUCAUCAUCUUCAUGGUCCUGGCUGUCGUUGGUUUCUUGGUGUACAGAAGAGUGAAGAAAGCACCAUAAUGUUUGUGUCGUUUGGUUUGUGAUGUGGAGACGCUGAUGUAAACAGAACAAAGACAGACGUGGAGGUCGUUCUUCAUCAUAACAAACACAGAUUUUCAUCACUUUGUACCAAUAUUUAUAUUAAAUUCAGUGGUGGGUGAACACCCCCCCCCCCCCCCCGCUCUGCUCCUCCGUGCUGUGGUUUGACAGAGACUCUUGUAAAGACACCAAACAGUCACUUGAACCAGUAAACAGUACCAAAGACAGGCACGGAACCGACGAGUCACCGUUUAAUUAGAACAGAGGCAAAAAGAAGAACCUGGAACGACAACAGCACAGUUUUAUAAAAGAAAAAAAGAAAAUCUAAAGACGAAGUUACACAGAACCUCUGGUUCGGACCGGACGUGAACAGAACCCCAGCUGACCCUCACGUGACCUUUAGCCUCAGCUGCUGGAAA